rnacentral:rRNA from 1 species
UACGUAGGGUGCAAGCGUUGUCCGGAAUUAUUGGGCGUAAAGAGCUCGUAGGCGGUUUGUUGCGUCGGCUGUGAAAUCCCGAGGCUCAACCCCGGGCCUGCGGUCGAUACGGGCAAACUAGAGUGUGGUAGGGGAGACUGGAAUUCCUGGUGUAGCGGUGAAAUGCGCAGAUAUCAGGAGGAACACCGGUGGCGAAGGCGGGUCUCUGGGCCAUAACUGACGCUGAGGAGCGAAAGCGUGGGGAGCGAACAGG